CGAACGGUAACAGGAAGCAGCUUGCUGCUUUGCUGACGAGUGGCGGACGGGUGAGUAAUGUCUGGGAAACUGCCUGAUGGAGGGGGAUAACUACUGGAAACGGUGGCUAAUACCGCAUAACGUCGCAAGACCAAAGAGGGGGACCUUCGGGCCUCUUGCCAUCAGAUGUGCCCAGAUGGGAUUAGCUUGUUGGUGAGGUAACGGCUCACCAAGGCGACGAUCCCUAGCUGGUCUGAGAGGAUGACCAGCCACACUGGAACUGAGACACGGUCCAGACUCCUACGGGAGGCAGCAGUGGGGAAUAUUGCACAAUGGGCGCAAGCCUGAUGCAGCCAUGCCGCGUGUAUGAAGAAGGCCUUCGGGUUGUAAAGUACUUUCAGCGGGGAGGAAGGUGUUGUGGUUAAUAACCGCAGCAAUUGACGUUACCCGCAGAAGAAGCACCGGCUAACUCCGUGCCAGCAGCCGCGGUAAUACGGAGGGUGCAAGCGUUAAUCGGAAUUACUGGGCGUAAAGCGCACGCAGGCGGUCUGUCAAGUCGGAUGUGAAAUCCCCGGGCUCAACCUGGGAACUGCAUUCGAAACUGGCAGGCUUGAGUCUUGUAGAGGGGGGUAGAAUUCCAGGUGUAGCGGUGAAAUGCGUAGAGAUCUGGAGGAAUACCGGUGGCGAAGGCGGCCCCCUGGACAAAGACUGACGCUCAGGUGCGAAAGCGUGGGGAGCAAACAGGAUUAGAUACCCUGGUAGUCCACGCCGUAAACGAUGUCUACUUGGAGGUUGUGCCCUUGAGGCGUGGCUUCCGGAGCUAACGCGUUAAGUAGACCGCCUGGGGAGUACGGCCGCAAGGUUAAAACUCAAAUGAAUUGACGGGGGCCCGCACAAGCGGUGGAGCAUGUGGUUUAAUUCGAUGCAACGCGAAGAACCUUACCUGGUCUUGACAUCCACAGAAGAAUCCAGAGAUGGAUUUGUGCCUUCGGGAACUGUGAGACAGGUGCUGCAUGGCUGUCGUCAGCUCGUGUUGUGAAAUGUUGGGUUAAGUCCCGCAACGAGCGCAAC
rnacentral:rRNA from 1 species